rnacentral:misc_RNA from 1 species
CGUGAAAAGAGCGCGUCUGUGAAAACAACCCGAAAUCAAAUGCAACAAAGCGAGUGAGGCGAGGGUGCGCGACGUUGGUAAGCCGCGGUAAACUCUGGAGACUCUGUCACUCUGUUAAAUCACUUGUUGACUCGCACAGAAGCAUUAUGGCAACCCAUCGCUACACGUGCGUUGGCUUUUCGGCUAAAAUAGACUGGAAGAGCAUCGAGUUCCUGCUACCCAUGCCCGUCUACCGCAUCUGCAGUAUAUGUGGCGUGGUUCCCGACAUGAUAUUUAGCCUCGAGUGCGGCCACGUCUUUUGCACAACGUGCAUGAACGAACUGAUGUUGAACUCGCCCGUCGUCGUCUGCCCUUUCGACAAGGGGAGCUUCGAAGAAGGCCGUGUAAGCCGCGACUCGUCAUCUCAGGCGUACGUCACCGGUUGCAAGUCCUACUGUCUCAACAAAGCGAACGGGUGCAACUACGUGGGGCCCGUGUCAGAUAUGGUCGAGCACUACUACUCUGAGUGCUGCCACCACCUCGUCCACUGCCGCUCGUGCAAGAAUCCCGUCGCCAGAAUGAACGUCUUGGCUCACUUGCGGGGCGGCUGCAAGUCGGACGUGCUGGCCACGAACCAGGCGCGGACGUCGUCCGCAUCCGCUAGCGGUGGCUCCGACGCCGACGGUUCUCUGUCCAUGCUUCUGAGCAAGAUCGAGAACCUGGAGAACGUCCUUCUGACGAGGACAAAUCACCUCGAAGAAAUGCUGCGCGAACGGAUUAGCGUCGCUGCGCAGCCGCCGCCGGUCCUCACUGACGAAGUCGCUGGGACGACAAUUGAUUCACGGCCGGACACCACCACUGCGGUAGACACUACCACACAAGCCGGCGGAGAGCGACAGCAGCCCGACGUCGUGUCGGCAUCUUCAACGUCUCCGUCCGAAGAGAACGCUACGCCACUAUCCAACCGUGACGCUGCGGUAGCAGACUCCCCGCCCCAAUCGAGAGAUCAGUCGCCGUCCGAGCCUCUCACUAACGGCCUCAAUGGCGAGCCCGAGGCUGUGGUUGAGUCAACGACACCUUCAGAUGCAGCCGAAGCGCAGCCCAGUCCGGAACCUAAAGCCUUUUUCACUUACGUCUGGGUGAUCAAACCCUUCCGCAAGUACCGUAACGCGCCCCUGCAGGUCUUCACGAGCGACGUACUCACUGUGGGUGAGAACGGGUACAGGAUGAGGCUGGAAGGCAAGUUCCACGACCUGGGCGACUCGUCUCUUCACCUCGGGCUCUACAUGAGGAUCGUCAGGGGCCCCAACGACGCCUCGCUCGAAUGGCCGUUCAACCGCAAGUGCUCCUUCGUGGUCCUCCACCAUAAGCAGCGCCCCAGAGACGUAAGCUACGACGUUUUUGCCCAAAUGAACGUCGAGGAAAGGCAGAACGCGGCCAACACGGUUCUGAAGCGACCGAAAAAGAAGGAUAACGACAGCAUCGGCCUUGACAGGUGUCUGUCGGUCGCGCAACUGCUGCAGAGCGGGUUUGUCAAGAACAAUGAAUUCAGGGUGCGCUUCAUUGUUGAGUGAAGUGCUCGCCGCAUUUCGCGAAGCAAGACCUGUCGGGAUGCGAUAGACUUGCUUCCAGCCUUUGGACUGUUUUCUCGAGAGCGGUGGUGACAAAACCUUUUUAGCACACGCCCAUCCUUUUUUGUUGUUGCUGCCUCAUCAUCGGUCACAUGUCGAGAGCAUCAUAUUGUUUUAUUUGGCUGCUUGGAAUGGCUGAAUAUGGCGACUAAUGUUGAGUGAAUAGCUAACGGUCUUGCUUGCUGUGUCUUUGCCAUCAAAAGCACUGACACACCAGACCGUUUCACCAAAGCAGAUGAAAUGAUGUAGAAGUUAUGCGGCAGGCAGGCACUGCUAGUUCCGAAGCUUUCUUUUCUCUCUUUUACUGUUUCAUUAUUUGUUUCCUAACUGAUUGCCUGAACUGUGAUCUGCAUGAUAGCCAGACUUGCGAGCAUGUGGUACAAGAAUUGUGAUUAUCUGUAAGCUUACAUCAUUGAAGGUGUACCUUUCAUCAGUCGUUUUGUGUGUUUAUCACCACCACCUC